CAGUCCAGCUCCAUGACAGGUUUUGUCUGUUGCACAGGGUUACCGUGGCAACACAGCCGGGACCCGGGACGUCACUUCCAGGGGAAGUAGACAGCCCAGGGGGAUGGAGCCGGGCCCGGGACAUGUGAGCAGCGGUGACCAGCAUGGGGGAGAGUACAGGGGUUCAUCCACAGCAUCAAGAGAAUAAGGAGUUGUCACUCUAAAUCUGGAGAAUAUAGGAUGAACACACAGAGCUGCGUUCAGCUUUUCAAUGCCUUUAAGAAUAUCCUGUUUGCCGUAUAGCUGUUAUCACACACAAGUGUCUUCCAGGCAUGCUGCUUCUUGUACAUGUUAUAGCUGAAAAGACAGGACGAUUCCUCUCGUGCUGUGUUAAGAUGUGGGAGCUGUGAACAAGACUUGACUUCUACGCCUGUCGGGCACAACCCACGAACUUUGCUCCCAAAAAACCUCAUUUGGCUCAUUCAAGAGGCCCAAGCCACUCACUGCUACAGCUUAUUUUGAUAACCUAUCUGGAACACCCUGCCUGAGCCCUGUGUCUGCUCGGACUACAAGAUGCUAAGCUAGGGAAGGCAAAGAGAGUGUAAGGAACACAUCUCUUGAUUAAUCAGAUCAGACAGAAAUUUGUCCGCUAGCUGGAAAAUAGCCCUUUGUUUGGAUAAAUAGAAAGAAAAGUAGUGAAAAUCUGAAUCCUGGCUAAACACUGAAUUUUACAGGGUUGUGUCAUUUUGAUAGCUUCAAGCUGUUAAGAUAAAUUCUGUAGGUCUAAGUGCAGAUGAAAUAAUAUUACGGUGUUCACAGGGGUGGAAGUAUAUCCGUAUGAGAAAAUACAACAUUGUCUCUUCUUACACAGAAA